CUGGUCAGGGACAAGGUCACCAAUGAACUCGAGCUCCUUCAGUUUGGAGAGAUUGUUGAUGCCUGAGAGAGAAUUCAUCUUGGUGAAGGACCAGAUGAUCUUCUCUAGCAUAGGAGCUGCUCCUUCGGUGAAGCUGAUCUCGGUGAUGGUAGGGCACUCAACAAUAAGAAGGUCGACCUUGGGAAACUCACCUUUGUUGAAGGUAAAUAGGCUAUCAUCAUAAGAAUUGCCCAAGAGAAUUAGACAGCAUACGCUUGGUCUUUUAGCGAAGAUUUGUAGGUCAGCAUGCUUCAUCAAGUUAGAGUGAAGAGUCACCUUGGAAAUUUUAUUGGCAUUUUCAAAUGAUGAAAGAAGUGGCUUGUGUGAGCAUGUAUUUCUCAAUAGUUUCUCCCUCUUCUAAUGAAAGAAGGACUUGUUUCUCUUCAAUUCGAGUUCCUCCAGUUUUGGUAGGUCCCCGACCCCAUGAAGAGACUCUAUGUUAGUGAAUUGGAGCUGCUCCUUUCUGAAAUUUGAUGCCUCUCAUGUUGUUGCCCUCGACAAGAAAGUACUUUGAGAUUUUUGAAUUUGUGCUCAUUGAAGGUGAGUUUGCCAUCUGUGUAUCCCUUGUGUCUCAACCUAACGUAGCAUAAGUUGGGCAGAUCACCGAGACCCUCCAGAUUUUUCUGUUUCAAUGAGGUGCAACUCAAAGUUACCUUGGCAAGGUUAGUAAAACGUUCAACAAAUAAUGUAAGAAGCUGGCCCUUUUGCGUGGUACCCUGGAGGCACAGGUUCUCAAGAAGCUUAGGACGGUAUUUCAGGCAAUGGGAAGUAUACUCUGGUAAGUCUCCAUUGGAUGGAGUGCCCUCUCCUUUUGUACUGGGAAAAAUAGUGAUAGACAGAGACCGGAGGCACUCACAUAGGUCGCUGAUUGCUGGAAGCAAAUUCUUGAGUAUGCUGUCCUUGUCGUCGAUAACCACACCGAGCUUCCUCAGCUGCCAUAGCUUCCCAAUGUCUUUCAACUCUCUGCUAAUCCAUGAAGCCUUGACAUUGGAAAGUACCUCCAUGCUAGACAUUUUUUUUAUCUUGUAAGGAAUUUGGACGCUGGAGGAUGAUGGUGCCUCAUUCCUGAAUGAAAUGUUGUUUUUAGCAUUACUUGAACUGUUUGAAUCAAUACAGCCAGCCAGCAGACGCUUUAGCUUAAGGAGCAGGAUAUGUUUUGUUAGAGCCCAAUUUGUUGUUUCUUGGCUAUUCUGGUAAUAAACUCAUGAACAAGAUCGCCUACAAUGCCGCUCUUUACCUUUCCUGCACCACCAAUAUCACUUGGAUAGACAAGCCACAUAUCAAUGAGUGUAUCAAAACAUCGUUCAGCAUGAUGCACUGCACUAGGCCAGUCUUCCUUAGUUAUCAGCCCUUCUACAACCCAGCGCCCUACUAUGGUUGACCAUCUGACAGGGUAACCAGGAGGGAAGAUUGCUAGGUACAGGAAGCAUGACUUGUAUUCUUUGCGGAGAUCAGUGUAGGAGAACUUGAUCAUCUUCUUAGCAUUGAUGCCUAGUGAUUUUUUUGAAUCCAGGGAAUCAAGCAACUUGCGUAGAUCUUGUUUGCUUCUGUUGGGAUUGGCGUAGAGGGCGUGAGCGAAGAUCUUCAUGCAGAAUUCGCUUGGAUAACACUUGUCCAAGAUGUCACGGAAAAUCUGGUUUGCAUCUUUAUUCACCCUCUUGCUUGUAAGCUUGAGCAAAGUAUCAUAGUACAAGCCAGCAAUAGAAUUGGUUAUAGGCUCCUGCUGUGGACAGC
rnacentral:sRNA from 1 species